GACGAACGCUGGCGGCGUGCUUAACACAUGCAAGUCGAACGGUGAACGAGGGAGCUUGCUCCCUCCGGAUCAGUGGCGUACGGGUGAGUAACACGUGAGCAAUCUGCCCCGAACUCUGGGAUAAGCGUUGGAAACGACGUCUAAUACCGGAUACGACGCGGGAGGGCAUCCUCUCCGCGUGGAAAGAACUUCGGUUCGGGAUGAGCUCGCGGCCUAUCAGCUUGUUGGUGAGGUAACGGCUCACCAAGGCGACGACGGGUAGCCGGCCUGAGAGGGUGACCGGCCACACUGGGACUGAGACACGGCCCAGACUCCUACGGGAGGCAGCAGUGGGGAAUAUUGCACAAUGGGCGCAAGCCUGAUGCAGCAACGCCGCGUGAGGGACGACGGCCUUCGGGUUGUAAACCUCUUUUAGCAGGGAAGAAGCGAAAGUGACGGUACCUGCAGAAAAAGCACCGGCUAACUACGUG
rnacentral:rRNA from 1 species